rnacentral:rRNA from 1 species
GACGAACGCUGGCGGCGUGCUUAACACAUGCAAGUCGAACGGAAAGGCCCUGCUUUUGUGGGGUGCUCGAGUGGCGAACGGGUGAGUAACACGUGAGUAACCUGCCCUUGACUUUGGGAUAACUUCAGGAAACUGGGGCUAAUACCGGAUAGGAGCUCCUGCUGCAUGGUGGGGGUUGGAAAGUUUCGGCGGUUGGGGCUGGACUCGCGGCUUAUCAGCUUGUUGGUCGGGUAGUGGCUUACCAAGGGUUUGACGGGUAGCCGGCCUGAGAGGGUGGACGGCGACAUGGGGCCUGAGAUACGGACCAGACGCGUACGGGAGGCAGCAGGCGAGAGUAUUGCAGAAUGGGCGGACGCCUGAUACAGCGACGCCGCGUGCGGGAUGACGGGCUUCGGGUUGAAAACCGAUGUCGCCUGUGACGAAGCGUGAGUGACGGUAAUGGGUAAAGAAGCACCGGCUAACUACGUG